GGAGGCUUCUUGCCUGUUUCAGGCAGCCAUUGCCUGGUGGAACAUGCCAGAAGGUGGCAGAGCUGAGUGCCAUCCUGGCAGGGCUGUCGUUGGGGUUCUCUUUUGAAGAAGAAUGGAAUGUGGACCACCCUGAGAGUCCGCUGGAUUGAUUCUGUAACCGUUGGCUCUGAUCCUGUAAAGAGAGGGAAAUCCUCAGGUGGCAUAAUGUCAAGCUCUGAGAUUGGUGACUCCAGAAAGAUGUUCAGCAUGUCCAUGCAACCCUGGAGAAGACAUCUGCCUGUCACAAGGCUCCUCCUGCGUCCCUGGCUGGGUUAUAAAGCAAGUUUUGAAGGUGGUAGAAAAGUGAAACGUAAGACCUUCCACAGGCUCAUUGUCAAUCUUAUCCGGAUGAUCAGAGUCUGCCGUUCUUUUCGGAGUGAGCUAAAGGGAUUCCAAGGAUUUCAACUGAU